rnacentral:rRNA from 1 species
AACGAACGCUGGCGGCAUGCCUAACACAUGCAAGUCGAACGAGACCUUCGGGUCUAGUGGCGCACGGGUGCGUAACGCGUGGGAACCUGCCCUUAGGUUCGGAAUAACUCCCCGAAAGGGGUGCUAAUACCGGAUAAUGUCUUCGGACCAAAGAUUUAUCGCCUUUGGAUGGGCCCGCGUUGGAUUAGCUAGUUGGUAGGGUAAAAGCCUACCAAGGCGACGAUCCAUAGCUGGUCUGAGAGGAUGAUCAGCCACACUGGGACUGAGACACGGCCCAGACUCCUACGGGAGGCAGCAGUGGGGAAUAUUGGACAAUGGGCGACAGCCUGAUCAAGCAAUGCCGCGUGAGUGAUGAAGGCCUUAGGGUUGUAAAGCUCUUUUACCCGGGAUGAUAAUGACAGUACCGGGAGAAUAAGCUCCGGCUAACUCCGUG